rnacentral:rRNA from 1 species
UACGUAGGUGACAAGCGUUGUCCGGAUUUACUGGGCGUAAAGAGCGCGCAGGCGGUCGAUCAAAGUCGAGUGUGAAAGCCCCCCGGCUCAACUGGGGAGGGUCAUUCGAUACUGAUCGACUCGAAGGCAGGAGAGGGUAGUGGAAUUCCCGGUGUAGUGGUGAAAUGACGUAGAUAUCGGGAGGAACACCAGUGGCGAAGGCGACUACCUGGCCUGUUCUUGACGCUGAGGCGCGAAAGCUAGGGGAGCAAACGGGG